rnacentral:rRNA from 1 species
GACGAACGCUGGCGGCGUGCUUAACACAUGCAAGUCGAACGGCAAGGCCCUGCUAUUGUGGGGUGCUCGAGUGGCGAACGGGUGAGUAACACGAGAGUAACCUGCCCUUGACUUUGGGAUAACUUCAGGAAACUGGGGCUAAUACCGGAUAGGAGCCCCUGCUGCAUGGUGGGGGUUGGAAAGUUUCGGCGGUUGGGGAUGGACUCGCGGCUUAUCAGCUUGUUGGUGGGGUAGUGGCUUACCAAGGCUUUGACGGGUAGCCGGCCUGAGAGGGUGACCGGCCACAUUGGGACUGAGAUACGGCCCAGACUCCUACAGGAGGCAGCAGUGGGGAAUAUUGCACAAUGGUCGGAAGCCUGAUGCAGCAACGCCGCGUGCGGGAUGACGGCCUGCGGGGUGUAAACCGCUUUCGCCUGUGACGAAGCGUGAGUGACGGUAAUGGGUAAAGAAGCACCGGCUAACUACGUG